rnacentral:rRNA from 1 species
UACAGAGGGGGCAAGCGUUAUUCGGAAUUAUUGGGCGUAAAGGGCGCGUAGGCGGCCUUGCAAGUGACGGGUGAAAUCCCUCGGCUUAACCGAGGAACUGCCUGUCAAACUGCAUGGCUUGAGACCGGGAGAGGUGAGUGGAAUUCCUGGUGUAGCGGUGAAAUGCGCAGAUAUCAGGAGGAACACCGGUGGCGAAGGCGGAUCUCUGGGCCAUUACUGACGCUGAGGAGCGAAAGCGUGGGGAGCGAACAGG